CGAAGAAGUUGUUUUUCUCGUCUGCAAUUCUGGAUUAGCGUUUUCUCGAAAGGGAUAAAUUCGAUUGCGAUGCAUGUUUAUGGAUACUGGAAGACGUAACUUACAGAAAACAGUCACCAAGUACAGUCCAGCUAAGUCAGGAAACCGGACCAGAGAAUGAAUUGAUGCCAUCUGUUUGAACCACAGUGCUCAGGAGGAAGGCUUCCUUACUUGAGGACUGCUUCAGGAUGUAGAAGGAACAAUGUCACCUGAGAUCCUGUGGCAGAUCCUGAUGGGAGUAGUCAAGGUUGAUGGCGAUGUGGCUGUCUUGAGGCUUGCACUCAAAUGCUAGAUGUUUAGGGACAUUGUCAGUGAG